rnacentral:rRNA from 1 species
UACGGAGGAUGCAAGCGUUAUCCGGAUUCAUUGGGUUUAAAGGGUGCGUAGGCGGGCUAUUAAGUCAGUGGUGAAAUCCUGCAGCUUAACUUCAGAACUGCCGUUGAUACUGAUAGUCUUGAGUUUGGUUAAGGUAGGCGGAAUGUGUAAUGUAGCGGUGAAAUGCUUAGAUACUACACAGAACACCAAUUGCGUAGGCAGCUUACUGAGCCGACACUGACGCUGAGGCACGAAAGUGUGGGGAUCAAACAGGA